rnacentral:lncRNA from 1 species
UUAAGAUGAUGUUUGAUGAGUAUUUAGUAUGUGGUAGAAAUCUCUACCUUGUAUAUGAUAUAAGUAAGCUGAAAUGAGGAAAAAGUGUUAUUGGGUGUGAUUACGGCCUGUUUUUCGAUCCUUUUCAUUUUCCAUUGGUGUCUGAGUCCUUCAUGAAAGUUGUAGGUCUACUUCUUAGCUUUCCACCCCAUCCUCUUGUGUCCAAUUUGGAUAUAUAUAGCUCAACUUAUGGCUAAAACACCUAAACUGACUCUGUUGUAACGUACCACAUGCAGCAAUAGAUUGAGUGACUAUUUUGACCACCAUAAUGGCAAGAUUAGGUGUUGAGCUCUUCAUGAGAUUUGUUACCCUGUGUCUUGAGAUUGCCCUGGUGUUGGAUUGGUUUAAUUUGAGUGUCUGGUUACGGAGAAAUUCAAUAAACAUUGGACUUGGUUCUGCUGAAUCCGGUCUGGACUAUCAGUCUGUGUUCCUAGCUUAUUUUGCCUAUCUUGCAGAUUUAUCUGGGUUAUGGUCCCUUCAUAACAUUUGUAGAAUUUUGUCUUAGCUUUCUAAUGAAUCUAAUUUCAUUCAAUUUGGAGACAUAUAAUUCAAGUUAUGUCUUAAAAACCCAGCAAAGGUCAAGGUUAUUUUACUGCUGGAAAUUUUCUAUGUCUUGAAUCAUAGGUUUAUUUGGAUAAAUGUAGGUAUGAAUCAUGUGUGAUGAAGUUCUCUUGAUUCUUUGUAUCCUUUAAGAUUUAUUUGACAAAAA